UGGUUAUGACCGGGUGUCUAUGCAUGCAGUCGACGGAGUCCCGCAAGGGACCCCGUGGCAAACGGCUGAUUAACGCGUAAGUGACCUGCCUUCCGGUGGGGGACAACUACCCGAAAGGGUAGCUAAUACCGCAUUCGAUCGACCGGGUAGACCCGGCCGCUGAAAGCCGCAAGGCGCCGGAAGAGGGGCUUGCGUCCGAUUAGCUAGUUGGUGAGGUAACGGCCCACCAAGGCGAAGAUCGGUAGCUGGUCUGAGAGGAUGGUCAGCCAGACGGGGACUGAGACACGGCCCCGACUCCUACGGGAGGCAGCAGCAAGGAAUAUUGCGCAAUGGGCGAAAGCCUGACGCAGCGACGCCGCGUGGGGGACGAAAGCCUUCGGGUUGUAAACCCCUUUUCACCGGGAAGAGGAAGGACGGUACCGGUGGAAUAAGCCUCGGCUAACUACGUGCCAGCAGCCGCGGUAAUACGUAGGAGGCGAGCGUUAUCCGGAAUUAUUGGGCGUAAAGAGCGCGCGGGCGGCCGGGUAAGUCAGAUGUGAAAUCUCCUGGCUUAACUAGGAGGCGACAUUUGAAACUGCCUGGCUUGAGGGCAGCAGAGGGAGACAGAAUUCCCGGUGUAGUAGUGAAAUACGUAGAUAUCGGGAGGAAUACCUGUGGCGAAGGCGGUCUUCUGGGCUGUUUCUGACGCUGAGGCGCGAAAGCGUGGGGAGCAAACAGGAUUAGAUACCCUGGUAGUCCACGCUGUAAACUUUGAACACUAGGUAUAGGGAGUAUCGACCCUCUCUGUGCCGUAGCUAACGCGAUAAGUGUUCCGCCUGGGGAGUACGGUCGCAAGACUAAAACUCAAAGGAAUUGACGG
rnacentral:rRNA from 1 species